ensembl:lncRNA
CUUCUUUAUGGUACAGCAAUGAAACAAUAGUGUCUGUAAGUCAUACCAAGUUAAAUCAAAGAACACAGUCAACCUAACAAACUCCUCUAUAAACUUUUCUGGAUCCUCCAAAAACUGGACAAAUGUCUCUUUGCAUAAAGUCAAAUCAGACACAGAUGGACGGGUGUUGUGGGACCUCUCUAUUUGCAUAUUAUAAACUGAGAACAUAGCAAGAUGACGGAAGAGUCUUCUGUUUUUCUCCACCAGAAAACCUGCUCUGGUUUAACUGGAACUUAAACUAGAUGACUGCUUUUAGAGGGAGUCAAGCAGUACAGACAUAAUCCUGCAGUUCCUAGAAUAUGAAGAUCUAAUGGACUCAAUAAUAAAUGAAAAUCAGGAUGAACAAAAUAUUGGGAAUAUUGUGAAGAAUGGUCAACACAAAUUAAAAAUCAAAACAGUAAAAAUUCAAGUUGGAGAGCUCAAUGACAUAAGCAGCUGGCAUUAUUGUUUCCCCGGGGGCAUACAAGCAGAACACGAUCUGAAGCCAGAUGAAAAAUAAAGGUACUUAUCCGAGUGGAAAAUAUGGCAAGUGUGUACAU